ACGAAUAUCAAGCGAAUAAUAAGCAUGAAGGAGAAGAAGUUCACAAACCUAAAGUCUCAUGACUGUCACGUGUUGAUGACACAACUGCUACCAGUUGUAAUAAGGGGUAUCCUUCCAGACAAUGUCCGGGCAACAAUAACAAAGCUAUGUGCAUUCAGGAACGCAAUUUCGCACAAGGUCAUCGAUCUGGAUAGAUUAGAAGCCCUUCAGAAUGAUGUGGUGCAAUGUCUCGUCAGUUUUGAGUUGAUAUUUCCACCUUCAUUUUUCAAUAUAAUGACGCAUCUGCUUUGUCAUCUUGGUACCUGA